rnacentral:rRNA from 1 species
GGGUCAGUAGGUUGGUCGUGCCACCGGUACGUACUGGUCUCACUGAUUCCUCCUUCCUGAAGAACCGUAAUGCCAUUAAUUUGGUGUUGCGGGGAAACAGGACUGUUACUUUGAAAAAAUUAGAGUGUUUAAAGCAAGCUAACGAUUGAAUACAUUAGCAUGGAAUAAUGAAAUAGGACGUUGAUCCUAUUUUGUUUGUUUCUAGGAUUGACGUA